AAAUUGAAGAGUUUGAUCAUGGCUCAGAUUGAACGCUGGCGGCAGGCCUAACACAUGCAAGUCGAACGGUAACAGGAAACAGCUUGCUGUUUCGCUGACGAGUGGCGGACGGGUGAGUAAUGUCUGGGAAACUGCCCGAUGGAGGGGGAUAACUACUGGAAACGGUAGCUAAUACCGCAUAACGUCGCAAGACCAAAGAGGGGGACCUUCGGGCCUCUUGCCAUCGGAUGUGCCCAGAUGGGAUUAGCUAGUUGGUGAGGUAACGGCUCACCAAGGCGACGAUCCCUAGCUGGUCUGAGAGGAUGACCAGCCACACUGGAACUGAGACACGGUCCAGACUCCUACGGGAGGCAGCAGUGGGGAAUAUUGCACAAUGGGCGCAAGCCUGAUGCAGCCAUGCCGCGUGUAUGAAGAAGGCCUUCGGGUUGUAAAGUACUUUCAGCGGGGAGGAAGGGAGUAAAGUUAAUACCUUUGCUCAUUGACGUUACCCGCAGAAGAAGCACCGGCUAACUCCGUGCCAGCAGCCGCGGUAAUACGGAGGGUGCAAGCGUUAAUCGGAAUUACUGGGCGUAAAGCGCACGCAGGCGGUUUGUUAAGUCAGAUGUGAAAUCCCCGGGCUCAACCUGGGAACUGCAUCUGAUACUGGCAAGCUUGAGUC
rnacentral:rRNA from 1 species